rnacentral:rRNA from 1 species
AGAGUUUGAUCAUGGCUCAGAUUGAACGCUGGCGGCAGGCUUAACACAUGCAAGUCGAGCGGAGAUGAGGUGCUUGCACCUUAUCUUAGCGGCGGACGGGUGAGUAAUGCUUAGGAAUCUGCCUAUUAGUGGGGGACAACAUUCCGAAAGGAAUGCUAAUACCGCAUACGUCCUACGGGAGAAAGCAGGGGAUCUUCGGACCUUGCGCUAAUAGAUGAGCCUAAGUCGGAUUAGCUAGUUGGUGGGGUAAAGGCCUACCAAGGCGACGAUCUGUAGCGGGUCUGAGAGGAUGAUCCGCCACACUGGGACUGAGACACGGCCCAGACUCCUACGGGAGGCAGCAGUGGGGAAUAUUGGACAAUGGGGGGAACCCUGAUCCAGCCAUGCCGCGUGUGUGAAGAAGGCCUUAUGGUUGUAAAGCACUUUAAGCGAGGAGGAGGCUACUGAGACUAAUACUCUUGGAUAGUGGACGUUACUCGCAGAAUAAGCACCGGCUAACUCUGUGCCAGCAGCCGCGGUAAUACAGAGGGUGCGAGCGUUAAUCGGAUUUACUGGGCGUAAAGCGUGCGUAGGCGGCUUUUUAAGUCGGAUGUGAAAUCCCCGAGCUUAACUUGGGAAUUGCAUUCGAUACUGGGAAGCUAGAGUAUGGGGGAGGAUGGUAGAAUUCCAGGUGUAGCGGUGAAAUGCGUAGAGAUCUGGAGGAAUACCGAUGGCGAAGGCAGCCAUCUGGCCUAAUACUGACGCUGAGGUACGAAAGCAUGGGGAGCAAACAGGAUUAGAUACCCUGGUAGUCCAUGCCGUAAACGAUGUCUACUAGCCGUUGGGGCCUUUGAGGCUUUAGUGGCGCAGCUAACGCGAUAAGUAGACCGCCU